CCCGGUGGCUCGCUUCUCUCCUGCUUUUCCCCCAGGCCAUCUGGGCGGCCACAGCCAGUGUUCUCACCACACCCUGCAACCCUCACCACCCAGAAAGGCUGGCCACACCCUGCCUGCUCCUGGAAGGUAAACAGGGCCAAAGAAGGCCCACACUGUGUGCCUGCCAACCGCCCUUUGGCUCCGCAGCCAUGGGACACAAAUGCCACAAGCCAGUGAACAGUGAAAGUCAGAACGGAGGCCCUCUUGAACCCCAGCUGACCUCAACUCCAAGUCAAUCAGUCUCGGGGAUUUGAGUCUGGCACAACUUCCUGGUGGCUGGAGGUGGCAAGAGGAGGGCACGCUUUCCUGGGGAAGCUAGGAACUUGUCAGUGUCGCCCAGAGCAGAACUGUUGGGGUUCCAGCCAAGAGCCUCACAGUGAGAAUGUCCACAUUCUUUCCAUCUCCAGAAAUGAGUUUAAUCUCAUCAGCUAAGAAAUACAAGCAUUUCUUUCCUCCACAUCCAACACCGUGUUGCUUACACAUGCACUGAUUCGCUGAGUACACGCAGCCUCCUAUGAGACAGGUUUUACUAUUUUCCUUUGCAGGUGAGGAGACCGUGGAAGAAAGGGCAUGCACAGGCUUCGCAGCGACGUUCAGCUCCUACGGGCCAGGGCCAGAACCGAGUCCUGGCAAUCUGGUACAGCCCUGCCUGGAGGCUGGUGUUUAUGUUUACAGCAAUUUCUGUCAAAGAAAAGUAUUAUGAUGUGUCUUUAUCCACCUUGUUCACUGGAUCCCGCACUAUGUGACUCCUGGCUGUUCCCCAAGGUCAAAAUAACCAUGAAAGGUCAUGUAAUGUGAACAUUCAUAAUUGGUGGUGCAGAAAAGUACUAACAACGGUGCAUGUAUUUCAGACUUUAGAUGUCAUUAAAAGACUCUGAAGAAGACCUAUGAGCCGUUAUGAUAUGAUACACUUGUGGGACAGAAGACUGACUUCUGCAAAAUAUCAGAAAUGAUACUGAAAACAUGGAAAAUGCCAUUAAAUGCAGUUACGCACCAAUGAGUGUAGAUUUAUGUGCUCAGGAAACAUACUCUUUUGUAGUUUAAAUUUAUUAAUUAGGAAAAUUGCUUUGAAUUACCUAAGUUCUAAUGAUGUGGUCUUCAGCAAGUAUUCACUGCAUAAAAUGAACCAGUGUUUCAUCCUAGGGACUUAAAUAUCCAAUACACUCAGUAGCUAUAUUUCUCAUUACAAUUUAUAAAUUGAAGGUUUUGAUUGUACAUCAGUUUCUAAUGAGCUUGGUUAUGAGUUACCUCUGGCAGUGCUGAGGAAAAUCAAGUUUCCCAACUCAUAAGUCCAGAGCCUGCCUCUCUGUUGUGACAAUUCAGCCCCUAGUGUGCGACAGCAUAGACGUAGUUGGGUGGACCUCCAUUUUUAUCAAACUUUGAUGAAGAAUCAGGCCUUUAAGGAGGCAAGUAGAACAUAUGCAGUGGUAAUUCCCUCUUCAGUUAAUAAUAGAAGUCACCAUACUUUUGGUGCUUUUUAUGUCAGGCAUAUUCUGAGUACUUUAUAUACGUUAUUUCAUUUAUUGACCCAAUAAUCCAUGUUUAUAGACAAAUAAGGAAUCUAAGAUGUGGAAAUAUUGACUAAUUCAGAUCAUUAACUAGGAUGUGGUAAAGAUAGCUAUUUCAGUGUCUAACUUAUUUUCAAAUACUCCCGGAUAGCCAGGCAUGAUGGUGCACACCUGUAAUCCCAGACUUCAGGAGGUUGAGACAGGAGGACUGCUGUGAGUACAAAGCCAGUCUGAGCUGCACAGUGAAUCCAAGGCCAGCCUGAACUGCUUAGUGAAGUCCUUUCUCAGAACAAUGCCUGCACUUAUUACUUUAGGCCACAAUGGAAGAAAGUCUUAGGGCAGUCAGCUAAUCAGAGACUGGUCAACAGUCUGAGAGCGCUGAGAUUGAAGGACGUCCAGAGAACUACUAAAGCACAUUUCUGGGUGUGUCCACGAGGGCGUUUUGGGAGAGACUUGUAGAUGAGUCCUAGAACUGAAUGAAGAAGACCUGUCCCAAGUGUGAGUGACACCACCCAGUUGGUUGAGGCCUACAGGAACAAAAUCCAAAGUGGGGAGGUCUGCACUAUGUGCAUUCGAUCCUAUUCAAAUAGGUGUGUGUGUGUGUGUGUGUGUGUGUGUGUGUGUGUGUGUGUGUGUCUGUUGUUUGUUUUUGCUAUUGUUGCCCCGCAUCAGAUCUCAGGCUCUUCAGCUUUCAAACACAGACUUGCACCUCUGGCUCUCUGAGGGUUUUCAAGUCUUUGGCCUUAGACUGGGGCUGCAUCUCUAGCUGCUCUCCUGUUCUGAGGCUGCCAGCUCCUUGUUCUGAGCAUCUGCUGGCUUCUCCAGCUCUCCGGCCUGUAGAUGGUUAUUGUGGUACUAUUGGCUACUAAGCAUGUAAGCCAGUCAAAUAAACCCACUCAUAUAUUCUAUCCAUUCUGUUUCUCUGGAGAACCCUGACCAAGUGACAAUUACUUCAGAUCUUUUCUGUGACUCUAAAGGUGAGUGGGAAUUGAAUUCAGAGCUGUCACCAGAAGCUAUGUGCUUAACCAUGAGGCUAGAGCAAGACCCAUGCUGCAGAAAAAAGAAAGAAAGAAAAGGAAAGAAAGAAGAAGAAAAGAAAAAGUGUCUUGACUUUAACCUUUGAAAUAGAAAGUAGAUGAAAAACAAGAACAGAUAACCCAAGAUUUUGGGAAAUAAUAUGUGGCCAGCCUCAUAUAAGAUGGUGAUCUUCCUCAAAGAUGACUGGCACAGGUGGGGGACACGAGAUGCUACCUCUUGAUGCAUUCCUAUGAACCUCUGCCACUCUCACCUCUUUGUGUCAACAUUUCAGAGAUGACCAAAACCCUUAACCGUAGGACACAUGGAACUAGGCCAAAUCUAACUGCAAUGUUAUCAGAAGGAAGUUGGACUAUGUACUUAUUAUGAAACUCUGAGCAAUUCUCAGGAACUGUGAACAUAUUUUGAGAACCAGAACACACAGUGUCCUCAGGAAGCCUUUGUAUUUGUAGACAAGGAGUGGAAUUUGACUCCUCCUAAAGGUCCUCUCGCCAAGUACUUUGGUUCUUGUCCUCCGUUCUUCGGAAUCAGGCCCAUCUGUGUCUCCCGACCCUUUCCAGAGUGGCCACCCCUCCAUCCUUGUCCGAUGAGCUGCGUUCCGUUCAGUGCAGAAUGUCUUCACUUCAGCUUGGAUUGAUGAAUUAUGGAUAAAACUGUCCAGUUCCCCCCCAAUUCCACCUGACAGCAAAGCAUCUUAAAUGAGUACCUUGGUACAACUGCUGCUUUCUUGUUUUAAGAUGGUGAAUUAUAUUAAUUUUUGAAAGGAAACUCAACCUUGAAUUUCCUGAAUAAAUCAGUUUAAUGAGCAAAUUUGA